rnacentral:rRNA from 1 species
CAGUAGCCGCGGUAAUACGGAGGGGGCUAGCGUUGUUCGGAAUUACUGGGCGUAAAGCGCACGUAGGCGGCUUGGUAAGUUAGAGGUGAAAGCCUGGAGCUCAACUCCAGAAUUGCCUUUAAGACUGCCGAGCUAGCAGGUGAGAGAGGUAAGUGGAAUUCCGAGUGUAGAGGUGAAAUUCGUAGAUAUUCGGAGGAACACCAGUGGCGAAGGCGGCUUACUGGCUCAUACUGGACGCUGAGGUGCGAAAGCGUGGGGAGCAAACAGGAUUAGAUACCCCUGUAGUCCCUGUCUCUUAUAC